rnacentral:lncRNA from 1 species
GAAGCACUAUGACAUGAACAGGUGACAUGUAGAAUAAUUGAGACAUUUACUACAAUGACUAAACGAGUGGCAUUGAGUCUAGUGUAGUAAACAUGACAUGGUUCUAGGGAUGGAUAGAAGUCUACAACAUUGAUUAUAUAUCAUGAUUGUGCAGAAGAGGCCAUUGACCCUAGUAGACAGGGUAUCCUCUUGAGAGGAUUUGAUCAUACUCACUAGUCUGUUUUUGCUUGUCGGUGGGUCGCUUCCACCGAGGCACGAGUUCUCGCGAGUAUUCACGAGGGGCAGACGUAGUUGCCCCGCAGACGGUCUCGGUGUGCGAGUGCAGUUCCUCACCUAUGAGAUUGAAAGUGAGUCGAGGGUUAACACGGGUUAACCAAGUAGAUGUGGGUAAUGAACAUGAACUGCAUAGUAAGAUUUAAUCAUUAUUAACUCGAGUAACAUAGUGUAUGUGUAGAUUACAUUGCUAUGUACUUUAUAUUACUCAUGACAUGUACUAGCAUGAUGUAGUUGUUGCAAACAUUAUCAUCAUUGAUGGCAUGAUACAGUAGUUGCAGUUAUUUCGCUAUAUAUCUAUCUAUCUCUCUAUCUGUGACAGCUUAGACCUAAGUGGAAAACCGCGCGUCGGCGCCGAACCCACUGGGAACUAUAUUAUAUAAGUUCUCACCCGUGUGGUUUUGGGUAACAGGUACACACAGAGGCGACGAGCGAGGACCGCGGCAAGGGCAUAGCCGCCGCUAAGUGAGCCUAUUAGUAGCUUUUUCUUUAUGCAUUAGAGUACCCUCGUUACAGAUGAGUUUUUGGAUAAGGCUACUUAUAUUUUGAAGAAAACAUGUAUUUACAUUUUGGAAGAUGAAAAUGUAAUAUAUUCAAAUGAUGUAAAUGUUGAAUGAUUGUGAUAGUUAGACUAUCUCUCUUUAUACACUUGUAUAUUACUUGUGGUUCUUGCUCUUAGAUGUAUUGCACUUGUGUGCAUCGUGUUUGAUCAUGUAUGUUAUUUAAGCAAAUAACUGGGUGCUUAAUUGUACAUGAUCUGGUUGCUUAGCCUUGGGCGGACAGGAGAGGUGCUGUCCGUUCGGCGUCUGUUCGACGCGCCCGAACCGGACCGAAUUGGUAGCGGUCUCGGGGCGUGACAGAGUUGUUGGUAUCAGAGUCACUAAGAGCAAGUAAAGAGAGAGUCUAGGAUGGCGCCGGCGGAAUUGAAAGAGUUGCGGGCACAAUUGAUAGAUCUCAUUGAUAAGGGAUUCAUACGGCCAAGUGUAUCACCGUGGGGAGCCCCGGUCCUAUUCGUGCGAAAGAAGGACGGAUCAUUUUGACUCUGCGUAGACUACCGCGAGUUGAACAAGGUCACGAUCAAGAACAAGUACCCGUUGCUGAGGAUUGACGAUCUGUUUGAUCAGUUGCAAGGAUCUCGGGUUUAUUCAAAGAUUGAUCUACAAUCCAGUUAUCAUCAACUCAAGAUUAAGCCGGAAGAUGUGCACAAGACCGCGUUUCGCACGCGGUAUGGACACUAUGAAUUCACGGUCAUGCCGUUUGGGCUCACUAACGCCCCGGCAGCAUUCAUGGAUUUAAUGAACCGUGUCUUCAAAGAGUACUUGGACCGAUUUGUCGUGGUCUUUAUAGACGACAUCUUGGUCUACUCGCGCAGCGACGAGGAACAUGCCGAGCAUUUAAGGGUCGUGCUUCAAAUCCUUCGGGAGGAGAAGUUGUAUGCUAAGUUUAAGAAAUGUGACUUUUGGCUCCGAGAGGUUGCAUUUCUUGGGCAUGUCAUUUCCGAGGGAGGAGUAUCUGUUGACCCGAGGAAAGUGGAGGCGAUCAAGGAUUGGCCUCGCCCGACUAACGUCACGGAAGUUCGAAGCUUCGUAGGUUUAGCGGGUUAUUAUAGACGGUUCGUGGAGGGAUUCUCGAAGAUUGUGGGUCCACUUACCCGUCUGACUCAGAAAGGCGCCAAAUUCAUUUGGAGUAACGAGUGCGACCGGAGUUUUCAAGAGUUGAAGGAUAGAUUGACUUCGACUCCGGUACUCGCCUUACCGAUGCAAGACGAAGACUUCGUGGUGUAUAGCGACGCGUCACAAUCGGGCUUAGGGUGUGUUCUGAUGCAGGGCGGGAAGGUGAUCGCUUAUGCGUCCCGUCAGCUGAAGAUCUAUGAGAAGAAUUACCCUGUCCAUGACUUGGAGUUGGCCGCGGUAGUGUUUGCCCUCAAGCUAUGGAGGCACUACUUGUAUGGCGCGCGUUGCGAGAUAUACACGGACCACAAGAGUCUAAAAUACCUUUUCACGCAAAAGGAGCUCAAUAUGCGACAGCGGCGGUGGUUGGAAUUGCUGAAGGUUUUGAUGUGACAAUCCUAUACCACCCCGGAAAAGCGAACGUGGUGGCUGACGCGCUUAGCAGGAAGUCAGUGGAAAAUCUGGCUAUGUUGGUCACACGUCAAGAACCUCUGUGGAGAGAGAUGGAACGAUUGGAUCUCGAGAUGGUAGCUCCGGAAAUCCCGUCUAUGCUUACGGCUCUCGUUGUCCAACCGACCUUGUUGGAGCAGAUAAAUAGUUUGCAAUCUGCGGACCCCAAUCUCCAAAAGGUGCGGCGAGACAUCGAGAGUGGACACGGCGGUGAUUUCAGUGUAGAUGUUGAGGGUGCGCUUCGGUUUCGAAACCGAUGGUGCGUAUCGGAAAACGAGGAAGUCCGAAAGUUAAUAUUGCAAGAAGCACAUCGGACUCCUUAUAGUAUUCACCCGGGUGGCACCAAGAUGUACCGUGAUCUGAAGAUGCAGUACUGGUGGCCGGGCAUGAAAGCAGACAUUGGGCGCUAUGUAGCGCAGUGCCUAGUAUGCCAGCAAGUGAAGGCUGAACAUGGCAAUCAUAUUUAUAUAGUUCUCACCCCGUGUGUGUUUUGGGUACAGGUAAACAUCAGGCGAGAGGCUAAAGCACCGCGGCGCCGGAGGAAGGCAGGAAAGAGGGAACAGAGCGCCCUAGUACGCUCAAGUUAUGGGUAAGCUUGUUAUGUGUGCCAUAUGAGUGCAUGUACCGAGGUUAAUCCCAUCCGAAGCGUGUACUAGAUAAUGUUUGGAAGAUAAUUAUGCCGGGGAUGGCUAAACUUAUAAUACCAGUUGAAGGAGAAAACAAAGUAAUAUAGCAUUUUGUAGAGACGAGAGUCAAAGAUGGUAUAUUUAAUUUCAGAGAUGAGCGGUAAAUGUUAAGAGAUUGUGAGGAGUUUAGAGAGCUAUCUCUCUAUAUUAUUAGAACACUAUAUAUAUAAAUUGUAGAGUGUUGCGUGCUUAGAAAGAAUAGGGCGAGACUUCGUGAUACAUCGGAAUGAGGCUGAAAUUUUAAUAUAAAAAUAAAUAUAAAUGAAAAUAGUGUGAAAUACUAUUUUAUUGGACUUAUAGACAUAAAAUAUAAGUCUGGAAUGGCCCGUGUUGAAAUCGGAGCGAAAAUAGAAGAUUUAGAAUUUUCUGUGUGAAAUGGGGCAGAUAAAUUAGCAGAAAAUGCAUAGUGUCAGAAAAUUCUGAAAACUGGAGGAUAAGCCAGAAUUAUUCUUAUGAGGCUAGAUUUAAAGUUUCAUAUCAUUUUGACACCCGGAAGGUGGAAAAUAAAAUCCAAUAGUGAUCUGAUAAAGAUUACAGUUCGGUACAGCUUUCGGUGACCAAACGGGGUCGAAACUGAAAUAUUAAAAUUUCUUUGGACUUAUUAAGUAAAACUGAACGUGCCUGUCAAAUUUGAGCUCAAACGGAUAUUCAGGGAGCUCCGGCGAAAGGUAUUAUAUUUUGAGCCGCUAAACUGAAAUUGUGCUAAAGUGAAUAGUGUUGGUGUUGACUAUAAAAAGGAGUGUUGACUCCUUCUUCCUCCUCAGCUGCAGCCAGCACCAAGCAUCACACGCACAUGGUGAAGGAGAGAGAAACCCUCUCUUUCUCUCUCUAAAUAUCUCUCUCAUCUCUCUAGAUCUUUCGCCCAAAUUCGCGGCGUUGGUGGAGAUCGAGCUUGCGAACGCGUUGGAGGCGACGGAUUGAGCUUUCGUGCGCCCGUUGGAGCGACGUGUUUUCGUUGCGGCGUUCACAUUGGGGUAAACUUUUGAGAUUUGGCUUAAUCCUUAACCUUAAGUGUUCUAGUAGCCUCUAAUGAGCAUUCUUAGCAUGUUGCUCCAUUUAAUUUGGAUUAUUUGGGGCUAAUUGCAUGUUAGGGCUCAAAAAUGGGAUUUUGCAAUACGUGAGGGUUUGAUCUAAAUUGAUCAUGUAUAAACCUAAUUGCUAGGUUUUCUGACGCGUUGGCGAAGUCGGUUCGGCGAUACGACGAGCGUACGCGAAGAUAUUAAAGAACGAAGCCGUUAGGGUACAGAUUGCCGCAACUUGCGGCGAAAGCUUCCAAAAAUCACGAAAUCGGAAUCCUAGCCUCGUGAUAGCGAUAAAAGGUGGGGGGUGUCAUCCCGAAGCAAUCGGGUUUCUUUUUAUGUCUAAGUUAAUUAUGUUGAUCAUAUUGCGCUAUAGGAAUAGUAGUCGUACAUUUCCAUUUCCUUGCAUGCUUUCUUGGUGGCGUAGCGGGGUGAGCUUGACACGUGGACUAGGAUAGCAUGAGGAUUGGGUCUUGUGACAUAGAAUCCUAUAGCGGCAUAAAGAGCCGAACUUGGACAUAGCCUAGUAGAGUGGCAUCGAACUAGUGUGGUAGAAGCACUAUGACAUGAACAGGUGACAUGUAGAAUAAUUGAGACAUUUACUACAAUGACUAAACGAAUGGCAUUGAGUCUAGUGUAGUAAACAUGACAUGGUUCUAGGGAUGGUAGAAGUCCCAACAUUGAUUAUAUAUCAUGAUUGUGCAGCAGAGGCACAUUGACCCUAGUAGACAGGGUAUCCUCUUGAGAGGAUUUGAUCAUACUCACUAGUCUGUUUUUGCUUGUCGGUGGUCGCUCCACCGAGGCACGAGUCUCCGGAGUACUUCACUAGGGGCAGACGUAGUUGUCCCGCAGACGGUCUCGGUGUGCGAGUGCAGCUUCUCCUCACCUAUGAGAUUGAAAGUGAGUCGAGGGUUAACCUACGGGUUAACCAAGUAGAUUGGGUAAUGAACAUGAACUGCAUAGUAGAUUUGCAUUAUUACCUCGAGUAGACAUAGUGUAUGUUGUAGAUUACAUUGCUAUGUACUUUUAUAUACUCAUGACAUGUACUAGCAUGAUAGUAGUUGUUGCAAGCAUUAUCAUCAUUGAUGGCAUGAUAGAGUAGUUGCAGUUAUUUCGCUAUAUAUCUAUCUAUCUCUCUAUCUGUGCCAGCUUAGACCUAGUGGGAAAACCGGCGGCGUCGGCGGCCGAACCCACUGGGAACUAUAUUAUAUAGUUCUCACCCCGUG